UAAGCGGGACCGACGGGGAGCUUGCUCCCUUAGGUCAGCGGCGGACGGGUGAGUAACACGUGGGUAACCUGCCUGUAAGACUGGGAUAACUCCGGGAAACCGGGGCUAAUACCGGAUGCUUGAUUGAACCGCAUGGUUCAAUCAUAAAAGGUGGCUUUUAGCUACCACUUACAGAUGGACCCGCGGCGCAUUAGCUAGUUGGUGAGGUAACGGCUCACCAAGGCGACGAUGCGUAGCCGACCUGAGAGGGUGAUCGGCCACACUGGGACUGAGACACGGCCCAGACUCCUACGGGAGGCAGCAGUAGGGAAUCUUCCGCAAUGGACGAAAGUCUGACGGAACAACGCCGCGUGAGUGAUGAAGGUUUUCGGAUCGUAAAACUCUGUUGUUAGGGAAGAACAAGUACCGUUCGAAUAGGGCGGUACCUUGACGGUACCUAACCAGAAAGCCACGGCUAACUACGUGCCAGCAGCCGCGGUAAUACGUAGGUGGCAAGCGUUGUCCGGAAUUAUUGGGCGUAAAGCGCGCGCAGGCGGUUUCUUAAGUCUGAUGUGAAAGCCCCCGGCUCAACCGGGGAGGGUCAUUGGAAACUGGGGAACUUGAGUGCAGAAGAGGAGAGUGGAAUUCCACGUGUAGCGGUGAAAUGCGUAGAGAUGUGGAGGAACACCAGUGGCGAAGGCGACUCUCUGGUCUGUAACUGACGCUGAGGCGCGAAAGCGUGGGGAGCGAACAGGAUUAGAUACCCUGGUAGUCCACGCCGUAAACGAUGAGUGCUAAGUGUUAGAGGGUUUCCGCCCUUUAGUGCUGCAGCAAACGCAUUAAGCACUCCGCCUGGGGAGUACGGUCGCAAGACUGAAACUCAAAGGAAUUGACGGGGGCCCGCACAAGCGGUGGAGCAUGUGGUUUAAUUCAAAGCAACGCGAAAAACCUUACCAGGGCUUGACUUCCUCUGACAACCCUAAAGAAAGGGUUGCCCCUUCCGGGGCGAAGGACAGGGGGUGGCAGGGUUGUCGUUCGCCCCUCCGCCAGGAAAAA
rnacentral:rRNA from 1 species